CCUACGGGAGGCAGCAGUGGGGGAUAUUGCACAAUGGGGGAAACCCUGAUGCAGCGACGCCGCGUGUGGGAAGACGGUCCUCUGAUUUGUAACUCACUGUCUUCAUGAAGGAUAAUGACGGUAGCUGAGGAGCAAGCUACGGCUAACUACGUGCCAGCAGCCGCGGUAAUACGUAGGGGGCAAGCGUUGUCCGGAAUUACUGGGUGUAAAGGGAGCGCAGGCGGGACGCUAAGUUUGCUGUUAAAACUACGGGCUUAACUUGUAGCCCGCAGUUGAAACUGGAGUUCUUGAGUGAAGUAGAGGCAGGCGGAAUUCCGAGUGUAGCGGUGAAAUGCGUAGAUAGUAGGAGGAACACCAGUGGCGAAGGCGGCCAGCUGGGCUUUAACUGACGCUGAGGCUCGAAAGUGUGGGGAGCAAACAGGAUUAGAUACCCCUGUAGUC
rnacentral:rRNA from 1 species